CAAAUAGAGUGUAAAAUCACAGUCUGGUUGGUAGUCCAGACGCAUUUUUAAUGUCAGUAGCCUUCCCCCCUCGGGAUGUCCAUCACUCUGAUUCAAUUA
rnacentral:ncRNA from 1 species